GCUUUGAUGACGUAGUGGUAGAGCGCGCGUACCCGGCAUGAUUGAAACGCGGGUUCGAUUCCAGCCCAAAGCC